GUGGGGAAUAUUGGUCAAUGGGGGAAACCCUGAACCAGCAACGCCGCGUGAAGGAAGAAGGCUUUCGGGUUGUAAACUUCUUUGACAGGGGACGAAACAAAUGACGGUACCCUGAAAACAAGCCACGGCUAACUACGUGCCAGCAGCCGCGGUAAUACGUAGGUGGCAAGCGUUGUCCGGAGUUACUGGGUGUAAAGGGCGUGUAGGCGGGACGGUAAGUCAGAUGUGAAAUGUAGGGGCGCAACCCCUGAACUGCAUUUGAAACUAUCGUUCUUGAGUGAUGGAGACGCAGGCUGAAUUCCGUGUGUAGCGGUUAAAUGCGUAGAUAUACGGAGGAACACCAGUGGCGAAGGCGGCCUGCUAUACAUUAACUGACGCUGAGGCGCGAAAGCGUGUGGAGUAGACAGGAUUAGAAACCCCUGUAGUCC
rnacentral:rRNA from 1 species